GUAGGAUGCAAGCGUUAUCCGGAUUUACUGGGUGUAAAGGGAGCGCAGGCGGGACUGCAAGUUGGAUGUGAAAUACCGUGGCUUAACCACGGAACUGCAUCCAAAACUGUAGUUCUUGAGUGAAGUAGAGGCAAGCGGAAUUCCGAGUGUAGCGGUGAAAUGCGUAGAUAUUCGGAGGAACACCAGUGGCGAAGGCGGCUUGCUGGGCUUUAACUGACGCUGAGGCUCGAAAGUGUGGGGAGCAAACAGGAUUAGAUACCCUGGUAGUCCACACUGUAAACGAUGAUAGCUAGGUGUUGGGGGUCUGACCCCUUCCGUGCCGGAGUUAACGCAAUAAGCUAUCCACCUGGGGAGU
rnacentral:rRNA from 1 species